UAUGUACACCCUCCGUCCCAAAAUUCUUGUUUUAGAUUUAUUUAAAUACGAAUGUAUCAAGUCAUAUUUUAAUAUUAAAUACAUUUGUAUCUAGACAAAUUUAAGACAAGAAUUAUGAAACGGAGGGAGUAUCUA
rfam:Triticum aestivum genome assembly, contig: Triticum_aestivum_CS42_TGACv1_scaffold_602872_7DL